UACAGAGGGGUGCGAGCGUUAAUCGGAAUUACUGGGCGUAAAGCGCGCGUAGGCGGCUUUGCAAGUCGGGUGUGAAAUCCCCAGGCUUAACCUGGGAACUGCAUUCGAGACUGCAUUGCUAGAGUAUGGGAGAGGGAAGUGGAAUUUCCGGUGUAGCGGUGAAAUGCGUAGAUAUCGGAAGGAACAUCAGUGGCGAAAGCGACUUCCUGGACCAAUACUGACGCUCAUGUGCGAAAGCGUGGGGAGCAAACAGG
rnacentral:rRNA from 1 species